rnacentral:rRNA from 1 species
GGAGUUAAGAAAUGCAGAGAUGUUAAUAGCGUCUUUGCUUGACUAAGGCUCCGGAGGAAGCCACGGCUAACUCUCUGCCAGCAGCCGCGGUAAUACAGAGGCGGCAAGCGUUGUUCGGAAUUAUUGGGCGUAAAGAGCACGUAGGCGGCUAUGUAAGUCGGUUGUGAAAGCCUUCCGCUCAACGGGAGAACGGCAUCCGAUACUGCAUGGCUUGAGUGCGGGAGGGGAGAGUGGAACUUCUGGU